GAAGAAAAGAAAGAAAGGAAAAAGGAAAAGGCAAAAAAGAUUGAAGGAAAUGAUAUGUUUGAAAGCCAAUAUUUUUGAAUUGGGAAGGCUACUUAUAUUAAGGUAUGAAAUAUCAAUUUUGGAAAAACCUUGAAUUUUAAUUUGGGUUUUUGAAUGAAUAUAGUUAUUAGGAAUAACUGUAGAGAUGAAAUACUCAUUUGAAGGCAUGAAUUUAUGGAGCAAGAUGGAAAAUUAAAUUGGUUAAAUUAUAAUUAUUAGUUUUACUAGUUUGGAAGAAGGAAUUAUUUUUAUGUUUGGAGUGAAAAUUAUUUUGAUGAAUUAGAUUUUAAUGAAAGGACUAGAAGGUAGAAUUAGUUCCAAAUAUGAAGGAAAUUAAAGAAUAUAUCCAAGUGUCGAGAAGUCAAGCAUUUCGUAGUUAAAAGUUAAGAAUACUUGGUAGGGUGGUUGUUAAAUUGGUUAUCUUGUAUCAUAUUUCUGGAGAGGACAAGAAGAUUGAAAUCAUGAUCAUUCCACAACAUGGUGAGUGGAUAUAAAACUUAUUUUUUCAGAAAUUAAUUAUUUAUUAAAUCAAUGUUAGAUUAGAAAAUUUAUUAUUUCAUACAGUUGAUUUGAUACCAUGAUUUUUGUAAUAAAGUGAAUUUAUAAUUAGUUAUUUUCAAAGUUAAAUUUAGUUCAGUAAAAUCAUUUGAUUAGCAAGUUAUAUAAAUAUUAAAUAUUUCAGCAUAAUUAAAGUUAUUUUUAAACCAUCAGAAAGUACCCAAGUGAUUUUACUCCAGCCCGCACUGGUGUAAAUGUGUUUCCACAGUAUAUGAUUAGUUAUGGUGAUUUUACCUGCUCUGCACUAUUGUGAAUGUGUUUCCAUAAUGUAUGACCAGAUUAUCAGAGGUCUUUGGGACCCAUUCUCGUACACACAUAGAUUUUGGACCGUGUACUAUGGUGAUUAGCCUUUGGGGCGGCUCUGCGUACGUAUACCAGAUUACAGAUUAUCAGAAUAUCAGAUUUGAAUGGCUCUGCCUUGUACGUCAAGAUUACUUUGUACAUGAGUCAAGCUAUUCAUUGAGUACCUUUUGUGUGUCAUUUUCAAUAUUUCUACAGCUUAUCAGAUUUCAGAUUAUAUAAUUCAGUCUAUUUAGUUAUCAAAUUAAAGCUUUCAGCUUAUAGUAUUGAUCAGCAGCAAUAUUUCAUAGAUUUUCACGGAUGUCAUAGUAUUUAUAUUCGUUACAUUUUACAGUUACUUAUCUAGAAUGAAGAACAAAGAAUUUUA